rnacentral:rRNA from 1 species
CUGACGUUAGCGGCGGACGGGUGAGUAACACGUGGAUAACCUACCUAUAAGACUGGGAUAACUUCGGGAAACCGGAGCUAAUACCGGAUAACAUUUGGAACCGCAUGGUUCUAAAGUGAAAGAUGGUUUUGCUAUCACUUAUAGAUGGACCCGCGCCGUAUUAGCUAGUUGGUAAGGUAACGGCUUACCAAGGCGACGAUACGUAGCCGACCUGAGAGGGUGAUCGGCCACACUGGAACUGAGACACGGUCCAG